rnacentral:tRNA from 2 species
GCCCCCGUAGCUCAAUGGACAGAGCACCUGCCUUCUAAGCCGGUUAUAUAGGUUCGAUUCCUAUCGGGGGCA